UAGCAUAUCAAUAAGCGGAGGAAAAGAAACCAACAGGGAUUGCCCUAGUAACGGCGAGUGAAGCGGCAACAGCUCAAAUUUGAAAUCUGGCUUCGGCCCGAGUUGUAAUUUGUAGAGGAAACUUUUGGUGAGGCACCUUCUGAGUCCCUUGGAACAGGGCGCCAUAGAGGGUGAGAGCCCCGUAUAGUCGGAUGCCGAUCCAAUGUAAAGUUCCUUCGACGAGUCGAGUAGUUUGGGAAUGCUGCUCAAAAUGGGAGGUAAAUUUCUUCUAAAGCUAAAUAUAGGCCAGAGACCGAUAGCGCACAAGUAGAGUGAUCGAAAGAUGAAAAGCACUUUGAAAAGAGGGUUAAAUAGCACGUGAAAUUGUUGAAAGGGAAGCGUUUGUGACCAGACUUGCGCCGUUCCGAUCAUCCGGUGUUCUCACCGGUGCACUCGGGGCGGCUCAGGCCAGCAUCGGUUUUGGUGGGGGGAUAAAGGUCCAGGGAACGUAGCUCCUCCGGGAGUGUUAUAGCCCUGGGCGUAAUGCCCUCGCUGGGACCGAGGUUCGCGCAUCUGCAAGGAUGCUGGCGUAAUGGUCAUCAACGACCCGUCUUGAAACACGGACCAAGGAGUCAAGGUUUUGCGCGAGUGUUUGGGUGUAAAACCCGCACGCGUAAUGAAAGUGAACGUAGGUGAGAGCUUCGGCGCAUCAUCGACCGAUCCUGAUGUAUUCGGAUGGAUUUGAGUAAGAGCGUUAAGCCUUGGACCCGAAAGAUGGUGAACUAUGCUUGGAUAGGGUGAAGCCAGAGGAAACUCUGGUGGAGGCUCGCAGCGGUUCUGACGUGCAAAUCGAUCGUCAAAUCUGAGCAUGGGGGCGAAAGACUAAUCGAACCAUCUAGUAGCUGGUACCGC
rnacentral:rRNA from 2 species